GAAACUACAGCCAGUAAUAUUAGUUUCGUCCUAAGCGUCACUCGAACCAGCAAUCUCUAAACUUUGUCUAGGAUCUUUACCAAUUGAGCUAACGACACUUGGUUACCCCCAAACCAUUUUAUGGCUUGUUUUCACUGGGUCUACUCGGCUACUAGGGAUCCAAAUCUUGAUUUGAUCAUAAUAAUUGUGUUUCAGGCAGCGGUCUAUCUCCUUUGGAAGAAAUGUAACUCUCGUAUCUGCACUACGAAUUUCAAGACCCCACGUCAAUCAUCAAAGACAUCAAGUCGUUAAUGUGGGCGCGUCUUGAUCAUCUUGCUAAAAAGCAACGUAUCGCUCCUCCAUGGUUUUCUCUACUCUCCGCUUGGUUAAUUUUCUUAGAUUAAGGGGUCUCUUCUCCUUUUGUGUCCGGACUUCUUGAGCGUUUAAGAUUUUUUUAUAGUUUUGGUUUUUUUUUUUUGUUGUUGUUUGGCAUAUGCGUUUUUUUGGGGUAUAUGUGCCUCUUUCAGUUUGCUUGAC
rnacentral:sRNA from 1 species